GAUGAACGCUAGCGGCAGGCCUAAUACAUGCAAGUCAAGGGGCUCAGCAAUGAGCACCGGCGCACGGGUGCGUAACGCGUACACAACCUACCCUCAAGCGGGGGGAUAGCCUUGGGAAACUGAGAGUAAUACCCCAUAGAAUUAUUGGACGGCAUCGUUUGAUAAUUAAAACUACGGUGUUUGGGGAUAGAUGUGCGUCUGAUUAGCUAGUUGGUGAGGUAACUGCUCACCAAGGCGACGAUCAGUAGGGGGCGUGAGAGCGUGGCCCCCCACACGGGUACUGAGACACGGACCCGACUCCUACGGGAGGCAGCAGUAAGGAAUAUUGGUCAAUGGAGGGAACUCUGAACCAGCCAUGCCGCGUGAAGGAUGACGGCCCUCUGGGUUGUAAACUUCUUUUGGAUGGGGCGAAAAAACGGGAUUUAUCCUGGACUGACGGUACCAUCAGAAUAAGCACCGGCUAACUCCGUGCCAGCAGACGCGGUAAAGUAGUCGUGU
rnacentral:rRNA from 1 species